rnacentral:rRNA from 1 species
GAUGAACGCUGGCGGCGUGCCUAAUACAUGCAAGUCGAGCGAACAGACGAGGAACUUGCUCCUCUGACGUUAGCGGCGGACGGGUGAGUCACACGUGGAUAACCUACCUCUAAGACUGGGAUAACUUCGGGAAACCGGAGCUAAUACCGGAUAAUAUAUUGAACCGCAUGGUUCAAUAGUGAAAGACGGUUUUGCUGUCACUUAUAGAUGGAUCCGAGCCGCAUUAGCUAGUUGGUAAGGUAACGGCUUACCAAGGCAACGAUGCGUAGCCGACCUGAGAGGGUGGUCGGCCACACUGGAACUGAGACACGGCCCAGACACCUACGGGAGGCAGCAGUAGGGAAUCUUACGCAAUGGGCGAAAGCCUGACGGAGCAACGCCGCGUGAGUGAUGAAGGUCUUCGGAUCGUAAAACGCUGUUAUUAGGGAAGAAUAAAUGUGUAAGUAACUAUGCACGUCUUGACGGUACCUAAUCAGAAAGCCACGGCUAACUACGUG